rnacentral:rRNA from 1 species
GACGAACGCUGGCGGCGUGCUUAACACAUGCAAGUCGAACGGAAAGGCCCUGCUUUUGUGGGGUGCUCGAGUGGCGAACGGGUGAGUAACACGUGAGUAACCUGCCCUUGACUUUGGGAUAACUUCAGGAAACUGGGGCUAAUACCGGAUAGGAGCUCCUGCUGCAUGGUGGGGGUUGGAAAGUUUCGGCGGUUGGGGAUGGACUCGCGGCUUAUCAGCUUGUUGGUGGGGUAGUGGCUUACCAAGGCUUUGACGGGUAGCCGGCCUGAGAGGGUGACCGGCGACAAUAGGACUGAGAUACGGACCAGACGGCUACGGGAGGCAGCAGUGGGGAAUAUUGCACAGUAGGGGGAAGCCUGAGACAGAAACGCCGGGUGCGGGAUGACGGCCUUCGGGGUGUAAACCGCUGUCGCCUGAGACGAAGCGUGAGUGACGGUAAUGGGUAAAGAAGCACCGGCUAACUACGUG